GGGUUGUGAGGUUAAGCGACUAAGCGUACACGGUGGAUGCCCUGGCAGUCAGAGGCGAUGAAGGACGUGCUAAUCUGCGAUAAGCGUCGGUGAGGUGAUAUGAACCGUUAUAACCGGCGAUUUCCGAAUGGGGAAACCCAGUGUGUUUCGACACACUAUCAUUAACUGAAUCCAUAGGUUAAUGAGGCGAACCGGGGGAACUGAAACAUCUAAGUACCCCGAGGAAAAGAAAUCAACCGAGAUUCCCCCAGUAGCGGCGAGCGAACGGGGAGGAGCCCAGAGCCUGAAUCAGUGUGUGUGUUAGUGGAAGCGUCUGGAAAGGCGCGCGAUACAGGGUGACAGCCCCGUACACAAAAAUGCACAUACUGUGAGCUCGAUGAGUAGGGCGGGACACGUGGUAUCCUGUCUGAAUAUGGGGGGACCAUCCUCCAAGGCUAAAUACUCCUGACUGACCGAUAGUGAACCAGUACCGUGAGGGAAAGGCGAAAAGAACCCCGGCGAGGGGAGUGAAAAAGAACCUGAAACCGUGUACGUACAAGCAGUGGGAGCCUCUUAAUGGGGUGACUGCGUACCUUUUGUAUAAUGGGUCAGCGACUUAUAUUCUGUAGCAAGGUUAACCGAAUAGGGGAGCCGAAGGGAAACCGAGUCUUAACUGGGCGUUAAGUUGCAGGGUAUAGA
rnacentral:rRNA from 1 species